rnacentral:piRNA from 1 species
UGAAAUAGCUCUUGCUCCUUAAUUGUGUGU